UUUCUUCUGCCAUCGCUCUUCUUCAGCAACUCCGGCCCGGGGUGGUUUAGUGUGCUGUCUCUCUCUCCCAUGUCACUAGUCCAUUAAGAAGAAGUCACCAGAACAUUGCAAUUGGUUCCCGUCACUUCCGUAAAUUCCAGCUAAGCUAGGAAGUUUGUUGCUCGAGGUAAUAUUGUGGGUGAGCCCUAUCCUAACCUGCCUGCUUGUCCCAACCUUAGCACCACCUACCUUAUUAUCUCGACAAACCCCUCCCGCGGAUUGUGCCUCGUUCCCAGCCGUUAUAAAGAAUGUAGGACUAGGAGAGAACGAGGUCAAUCACGUGAUCCUAGAAGCUACCAGUACCUGUCCAUCGUCCAGAGAGAGAGAGUCAGCCAGCCCCGUUAUAAAUACACACUGCAGUUCCCAUUGAUCACCCAGCUACCCAACUGAUUUAGGGUAACGGACUUUACCAUGAGAUGGAACACUUAUUUUAUGUACUAUUGGAUUGGUCUUGCAUUAUUUUACAAUCCAUA